AUGCCCUCCUCCCCGCUCGCCGCCAGCGACGCCGCGUCCACCUCCGGCCCCGGCCCCGCCUCCGCCGCGCCCGCCGAUGACGACGACCGCGUCUUCCUCGUCCAGCACCGGUGGUGGAGGGAGGCGCAGGAGGGCGCCGAGAUCGACGCGCACGGGAUUCCCUACGCGGCGGCGCCGUCGGGAGCCCCCUCCUACGGGUUCCGCGGGGUGCUCAGCCUGCUCAUGAGCGACAACGCCGCCUUCACCCUCCGCCGCGCCGACGACCUCCUCCAGCCCGAAGCCUCCGCCAAGGCCGGGGCCAGGAGCUACGCGCUCGUCGCGGCCGACCUCUUCGGGAAGGCACGCACCUGGCAUUCCGAUUCUCUCAAGUCUAAUGGCAAAAGUUCAUUGCUUACUGAAGAGGCAUCCGUAAACAUUUAUCCUAUAAUGCUUAGAGUUUCGGUCACUCGAGGUACAAAUGCACUAACGGUGAAGAUCAGUAGAAAGGACAACUCAGCCGAGAACUUUAAAAGAGCAAACAAGAUUCUGGCUUCGGAGUCUGAGCCGGUUCACAUAUGGGAUUUCUCUGGGCGAACAACCUUCAUAUUGAUGAAUGAAUGGAACCGUAUGCCCCAAGAUCCUCGGUCUUCUGACCAGGAGAUGCCUCUGGAAAUACAAUUCUAUGAUAUAUCAGAACCUCCGGCUAAUGGUGCUGCUGGGAGAAAAGAUGAGUUAGCAUUGACCAUGGGUAGCUCAGCUUUGAGCAAUGGUGGCAUCAUGGACAUGGAUCUGGAUUCAUCAGGUGGAAUCUGUAAGCAAGUUGGCUCUGGUUUAAUAGGAUUAGACAAUCUUGGAAACACAUGUUUCAUGAACAGUGCAGUCCAGUGUUUGGCUCAUACUUCAAAGCUGGUUGACUAUUUUCUUGGAGAUUACCAGAAGGAAAUAAACACCCAGAACCCACUAGGAAUGAAGGGGGAGCUUGCUUAUUCAUUUGGAGAUCUGGUGAGGAAGUUGUGGGCUAUUGACGGAACCUCAUUUUCUCCUCGCCAGUUUAAGGCAAAACUUGCACGCUUUGCCCCCCAAUUCAGUGGCUUUAACCAACAUGAUUCACAGGAGCUUCUUGCUUUCUUAUUGGAUGGACUACAUGAAGAUUUGAAUCGUGUCAAAUGUAAACCCUAUGCUGAAGCAAAGGAUUCAGAUGGUCGUCCUGAUGAAGAGGUCGCCGAUGAGUACUGGGGCAACCAUUUAGCUCGAAAUGAUUCCAUUAUAGUUGAUACAUGCCAGGGCCAAUACAAGUCUACGCUAGUUUGCCCACUUUGCAAGAAAGUUUCCAUAACGUUUGACCCGUUUAUGUAUUUAUCUUUGCCCCUGCCUUCAACGACAAUGAGAACAAUGACCGUAACAGUCUUUAGUACUGACGGCUCUAUUGGGCCAUCUCCUUACACUGUGAGUAUACCAAAAUCUGGAGACUUUAAGACACUCAUCAAUGCGUUAAGCAAUGCUUGUUCGCUUAGAGACGACGAGCGCCUCCUGGUUGCUGAGGUUUACAAUAGUUCUCUCAUCCGCUACUUGGAGGAUCCCUCUGAUGAUAUCUCCUUGAUCAGAGAUGGAGAUAAAUUGGUUGCAUAUCGACUUCCGAAAGACAGUGAAGGUGCAGCUGUAGUGGUGUUCAAAAGCGAACGUAUGGAGUCCUCCAUCUCUAGUUUUGGUAGGAAGUCUUGGAAGAAUUUUGGCACUCCUCUUGUAUCAAAUCUCCCCGACACAAUUGAUGGGCGUACUAUCUACAAUCUUCUCCUAAAAGCUCUGACUCCAUUCCGAGAACCAAAAGAUGAUGUUUUGGAUGCUGAUCAAAUAACUGGCAAAAGCAGCCCUGUGAAUGAAACUUCAGACAUCGAUAUGAGCUCCGAUGCUGCAGAGUGCUCCAGCAUGAACACUAAUGCUGGUGAGGAUGACAUGACGACUGAAGGUGGCAUGCUAUUUUUCUUGAAUACUGAAAGGUUCCCGAACCAGCGCAUGAAGAUAGAAAUGGAUCAAACUAUUACACUUUCCAAUUUGCAGAAGCGUUUGAUUGUGUCUGUGAGUUGGCAGGAUAAUGGUCUCAAGCAAUAUAACCUUGAUUCUUUGGAUUCGCUUCCUGAGGUUUACAAGAUCGUGCUGUUUACAAGGAGACCACAGGAAACCUGUUCCCUGUAUGCAUGUCUUGAAGCAUUUAUAAAGGAGGAACCAUUGGGCCCAGAGGACAUGUGGUAUUGCCCAGGUUGUAAAGAACACCGACAAGCUAGUAAGAAACUAGACCUUUGGAGGUUACCGGAGAUCCUCAUAAUACACCUAAAAAGAUUUUCAUACAGUCGCUACACAAAAAACAAGCUGGAUACAUAUGUGGACUUCCCGAUUCAUGAUCUUGACUUGUCGAGUUAUAUCCGCGACAGAAGCGGGCAGAUGUCCAACCACUAUCAACUGUAUGCUGUCAGUAACCACUAUGGGAGCAUGGGAGGAGGUCACUACACUGCAUAUGUUUAUAAUGAUGGGAAAAAGAAGUGGUAUGAUUUUGACGACCGUUGUGUCUCAGGUCUUGAGAACGAGGAUAGCAUAAAGACGUCGGCAGCUUAUGUUCUUUUUUAUAGGCGGGUACAUGGUGAUACUAGCUUAGUAGAUACAGAAACAACAACAAUAGAAGAGUCUACUGAUUGUACAACAUCAGGAGUAGCGGCGGUGGGUGAUGACUUGUGA
rnacentral:rRNA from 1 species